GACAGAGGGUGCAAACGUUGUUCGGAAUUACUGGGCGUAAAGCGCGUGUAGGCGGCCCGGCAAGUCGGAGGUGAAAGCCCUGGGCUUAACCUAGGAAGUGCAUUCGAAACUGCUGGGCUUGAGUUCUGGAGAGGAAGGCGGAAUUCUCGGUGUAGAGGUGAAAUUCGUAGAUAUCGAGAGGAACACCGGUGGCGAAGGCGGCCUUCUGGACAGUGACUGACGCUGAGACGCGAAAGCGUGGGGAGCAAACAGG
rnacentral:rRNA from 1 species